rnacentral:rRNA from 1 species
UACGAAGGGGGCUAGCGUUACUCGGAGUUACUGGGCGUAAAGGGUGUGUAGGCGGUUCUUUAAGUUUGGUGUGAAAUCUCCCGGCUCAACCGGGAGGGUGCGCCGAAUACUGAGGGACUUCGAGUGCGGGAGAGGAAAGUGGAAUUCCUGGUGUAGCGGUGAAAUGCGUAGAUAUCAGGAGGAACACCGGUGGUGUAGACGGCUUUCUGGACCGUAACUGACGCUGAGACACGAAAGCGUGGGUAGCAAACAGG